UACGUAGGGGGCAAGCGUCAUCCGGAUUUACUGGGUGUAAAGGGAGCGUAGACGGCUUUGCAAGCCAGAUGUGAAAGCCCGGGGCUCAACCCCGGGACUGCAUUUGGAACUGUGUGGCUAGAGUGUCGGAGAGGCAGGCGGAAUUCCUAGUGUAGCGGUGAAAUGCGUAGAUAUUAGGAGGAACACCAGUGGCGAAGGCGGCCUGCUGGACGAUGACUGACGUUGAGGCUCGAAAGCGUGGGGAGCAAACAGG
rnacentral:rRNA from 1 species